rnacentral:rRNA from 1 species
GACGAACGCUGGCGGCGUGCUUAACACAUGCAAGUCGAACGGUGAAGGGACCAGCUUGCUGGUUCUGGCUGAGUGGCGAACGGGUGAGUAACACGUGAGUAACCUGCCCCCUUCUUCUGGAUAACCGCAUGAAAGUGUGGCUAAUACGGGAUAUUCUGGGUCUGUCGCAUGGCGGGCCCGGGAAAGAUAUUGCUUCGGUGGGGGAUGGGCUCGCGGCCUAUCAGCUUGUUGGUGGGGUGAUGGCCUACCCAGGCGGUGACGGGUAGCCGGCCUGAGAGGGGGGACGGUCACACUGGGACUGAGACACGGCCCAGACUCCUACGGGAGGCAGCAGUGGGGAAGAUUGCACAAUGGGCGCAAGCCUGAUGCAGCGACGCCGCGUGAGGGAGGGAGGCCUUCGGGUUGUAAACCUCUUUCGCCAGUGAAGCAGGCCUGCUCCGUGUGGGUGGGUUGACGGUAGCUGGAUAAGAAGCGCCGGCUAACUACGUG